AGUGCCCACACUGGAGCGAACCAUCUAUAUAUACCCAUCCAAUUCAUUCAAGCUGCUACCUGCACUUCUAAAUGGUGCCCCACAAGGAUCUACAACUUCUGCCCAGACUUGGUGAUCAUCAGCAUGGGUAGUUUCAGUGUGACGUGGCUGGCUGGCGUGGAUCUCUCAUGUUUACUACUGCAGGAUUACCACCCAAACUUGUUCCCCUGCUGCUGAAAUUAAAUGUAGUGGCAAUUAUUGAAAGCUGCCUUGGCGUGUGUAUUCACAUGUAUGAAGAAUCCUUGCAUUUAAACUUUUACUUUAACAGCACACAUGGCAAAAGCAUUACCUAAAGUUACUAACCUAAACACCAAUUAAACACUAUCUGGAAUAUUGUAUCUGGAAUUCAAUAAAUGCUAUCAGAUCAUUA